rnacentral:rRNA from 1 species
AUUGACGCUGGCGGCAGGCCUAACACAUGCAAGUCGAGCGAGCGGCGGACGGGUGAGUAAUGUCUGGGAAACUGCCCGAUGGAGGGGGAUAACUACUGGAAACGGUAGCUAAUACCGCAUACCAUCGGAUGUGCCCAGAUGGGAUUAGCUUGUAGGUGUGGUAACGGCUCACCUAGGCGACGAUCCCUAGCUGGUCUGAGAGGAUGACCAGCCACACUGGAACUGAGACACGGUCCAGACUCCUACGGGAGGCAGCAGUGGGGAAUAUUGCACAAUGGGCGCAAGCCUGAUGCAGCCAUGCCGCGUGUAUGAAGAAGGCCUUCGGGUUGUAAAGUACUUUCAGCGGGGAGGCGUUACCCGCAGAAGAAGCACCGGCUAACUCCGUGCCAGCAGCCGCGGUAAUUC